GUGGGGAAUAUUGGACAAUGGGGGAAACCCUGAUCCAGCGACGCCGCGUGUGUGAAGAAGGCCUGCGGGUUGUAAAGCACUUUCGGUGGGAACGAAAUAUGCCGGGCUAAUACCCCGGUAGGCUGACGUUACUCAAUGAAGAAGCACCGGCUAACUCUGUGCCAGCAGCCGCGGUAAUACAGAGGGUGCGAGCGUUAAUCGGAAUUACUGGGCGUAAAGCGCACGUAGGUGGCGACGUAAGUCGGGUGUGAAAUCCCCGGGCUCAACCUGGGAACCGCAUUCGAGACUGUGUUGCUGGAGUACGGAAGAGGAGGGCGGAAUUCCCGGUGUAGCGGUGAAAUGCGUAGAUAUCGGGAGGAACAUCAGUGGCGAAGGCGGCCCUCUGGUCCAGUACUGACACUCAAGUGCGAAAGCGUGGGGAGCAAACAGGAUUAGAAACCCUAGUAGUCC
rnacentral:rRNA from 1 species